rnacentral:rRNA from 1 species
CCUACGGGUGGCAGCAGUGAGGAAUAUUGGUCAAUGGGCGCAAGCCUGAACCAGCCAAGUCGCGUGAGGGAAGACGGCCCUACGGGUUGUAAACCUCUUUUGCCGGGGAGCAAGCCUGAGCACGUGUGCCCAGGCGGAGAGUACCCGGAGAAAAAGCAUCGGCUAACUCCGUGCCAGCAGCCGCGGUAAUACGGAGGAUGCGAGCGUUAUGCGGAUUUAUUGGGUUGAAAGGGUGCACAGGCGGAAUGUCAAGUCAGCGGUAAAAUUUCGGGGCUCAACCCCGUCGUGCCGUUGAAACUGGCGUUCUUGAGUGAGCGAGAAGUAUGCGGAAUGCGUGGUGUAGCGGUGAAAUGCAUAGAUAUCACGCAGAACUCCGAUUGCGAAGGCAGCAUACCGGCGCUCAACUGACGCUCAUGCACGAAAGCGUGGGUAUCGAACAGGAUUAGAUACCCCUGUAGUC